GCCGGGACUGCGCCGCGGGGAGUCCCCCGGCCGGGGCGGGUGGCGGCCCGUGGAACAGGGAUUCCCGCCGGCGCGUGUGCGGGCUCUCCGGCAGGAAGGCCCAGCCUUCGCGGCCCGCCAGGGUGGAGAGGGUCCAAAUCUCGUCUCAGAUGGGAGUGCUCGGCGGAGCGGGGCUGGGCGAGGAGAGAAGAGGAGUCAGAGGCUAGUCAAGUGAAGCAGUGGGAGUGGAGAUG